GCGGUCGUGGCGGAAUUGGUAGACGCACUAGCUUGAGGUGCUAGCGGGGCAACUCGUGGAGGUUCGAGUCCUCUCGACCGCACCA
rnacentral:tRNA from 1 species